rnacentral:rRNA from 1 species
GACGAACCGUGCGAACGUUGUUCGGAAUAACUGGGCUUAAAGGGAGCGUAGGCGGGCUAACAAGUCUGGGGUGAAAUCCCGCGGCUCAACCGUGGAACUGCCUUAGAUACUGUCGGCCUCGAGGGAGAUAGGGCAUGCGGAACUAACGGUGGAGCGGUGAAAUGCGUUGAUAUCGUUAGGAACUCCGGUGGCGAAAGCGGCGUGCUGGAUCUCUUCUGACGCUGAGGCUCGAAAGCUAGGGGAGCAAACGGGAGUUAGAAACCC